UACGAAGGGUGCAAGCGUUACUCGGAAUUACUGGGCGUAAAGCGUGCGUAGGUGGUUUGUUAAGUCCGAUGUGAAAGCCCUGGGCUCAACCUGGGAACUGCGCUUGAAACUACGGAACUCGAGUAUGGCAGAGGAAGGUGGAAUUCCACGUGUAGCGGUGAAAUGCGUAGAGAUCAGGAGGAACACCGUGGCGAAGGCGGCUCCCUGGUCCGUUACUGACGCUGAGACGCGAAAGCGCGGGGAGCGAACGGG
rnacentral:rRNA from 1 species